AAAUGUGCUCUUUUAGUAUUUCUCUAGUAGGUUUAUUCAAGGAGAAAGCCUCC
rnacentral:snRNA from 2 species